rnacentral:rRNA from 1 species
CCUACGGGGGGCAGCAGUGAGGAAUAUUGGUCAAUGGGCGUAAGGCUGAACCAGCCAAGUCGCGUGAGGGAUGAAGGUUCUAUGGAUCGUAAACCUCUUUUGUAAGGGAAUAAAGUGCGGGACGUGUCCUGUUUUGUAUGUACCUUAUGAAUAAGGAUCGGCUAACUCCGUGCCAGCAGCCGCGGUAAUACGGAGGAUCCGAGCGUUAUCCGGAUUUAUUGGGUUUAAAGGGUGCGGAGGCGGCAUUUUAAGUCAGCGGGGAAAGUUUGUGGCUCAACCAUAGAAUUGCCGUUGAAACUGGGAGUCUUGAGUAUGUGUGAGGCAGGCGGAAUGCGUGGUGUAGCGGUGAAAUGCUUAGAUAUCACGCAGAACCCCGAUUGCGAAGGCAGCCUGCCAAGCCAUGACUGACGCUGAUGCACGAAAGCGUGGGGAUCAAACAGGAUUAGAUACCCGGGUAGUC